UCCACCGCUCAGCGCUCUGUUGCCGCUGUGGAUCCCGGGAUCCCUUCCGUCGGCGCACGAGGUGGCGCGGCUCACCGCCCACAUAUUGCCGGCGCAUCGAGCUGAUGGAGCGAGUGCCUCCGCCCAGAGGACCGCCAUGGCCGGAGCGUCGACCCGGAGGCUCUCAGAUGGAGCUGCUGGCACCUAUGAAAUCCGAGGAGAGUGCAAGCGGCGGACUCCCCUGACUCCUCCCACCAUGCCCCAUUUUCGGCCUACCUCUCCCCAUCGCCGGCGGCCAAGGUGGCCCGAGGUGAGAGGAAGGAGUUUCUGCCUCCAGGUGGGUUGCUCCCUCAGCUGUCUUGCCAUCUAUCAAGGUUAUCCUCUCCGUGAUGACGCGAAGGAGGAACAUGGGCUCUACUCUUCUUCCGAGGCGGCUGCCGGGGCGGCCGCUUUGACGACGUCCCCGUCGUCGUACAGGAUCAUUAUCUUUUUUAGCACCAUCCGUGUUUUCCUUGCAUGAUUUCUUUCGUCCUUUAAUUGUAUUUCCUUACUCCUUUUUCAGGUCUUUCUAUGACUGCGUUACCGGAGGCCGGCGAGAUAGGCCACCUUCUGCAUCGCCUCCUUUGGUCCCGCAUCGGUGUUGUGUUGCUCCGAAUAUUACUUCUGCAUCGGCUUCUGUCGGUGGUGGAUCCGAGAAUGGCGUGGAUCUUUUCAUGGAUGAUUUUGCGGAGCUGCCGUCGUCAUCGGGAUACCUCUGGAGCGGAGGAGCUCUCUAGAGCCAAGGGGUGGGAGGUGGGAGAAGAUGGAGCCGAGGGGCGGGAGAACAUGGUGUCCAUGCCGCUGGGCCGCCGGGGGAGUCGACAUGGAUGAUGGGAGGUGGAAGUGCGGAUGGGGGAAUUUGGGGAGAAGAAGACACAGAUGGCAUCGAGGCAGGAUGUGUGCCGCUGCUCAAAUCGGCUGCCUCCAGGUCCAAUGAGAGUAAGGAGGGCAUGCGCGACCCAUUUGGCAGCCAGGCCGACUAGCAGGAACCGCCGUCCACGAGAAUGGUGAGAUACUGAUUUUGGAACAUGUGUCUGUGGAUGAUCCAACAAUUCAGGCUGAUUUGAUAUCUUGCAAUGCUAUUGUUGAUCAGGGAUAUCCAGGUUCUUCUAGAAAUGCUAAUUUGGUUUUGAAUCAUCUGUCCUCAACUCCUAAUGCACUAUGAAGAUCUUUGCAUGAACUGAUCAUAUCUGUCCUCAGCUCCUAAUGCACUAUGAAAUGCUACUUAGGUUAGCUAAAUAAUUACUCCCCUUCAGUAGUUUUGGAAAACAGAAUGAUUUUCGAUAGAAGUAAACAGGUUGGUUGUUGGACAUACAACUGAAGACCACGCUAAUAUUUAUGCAGAUAUUUCCUGUUUCACAGAUUUCUGUUCACUUUAUUUUAGGUUGUGUUUAUAUGAAAGGAAACUCAGUUCUGUUUAAUGUGGAUGUGAGAUGUUCUUAGCUAUAGUGUAAUAUAAAAAGUAGCUCAGCUACGCUACAUCAACUGUUUAUUUGGUGAACAUGUUUACCGAUAACCACUAAAAUUUUCUUCCAUAUGUAUCUAUACUUUUAUCGUAUUUUCUAUUUGCACAAUGAUUUUUUGGGUUGUUAGUGCAAAUGAGGUCAACUAUCUUUUGCUUGCUGCAAACCUUUCCUACGGGAAUCUUAGCUGAGGAAUCAUUUAGUUGACAGUGUUGUGAAUCUGUUUAGUUGAUAGCCUAAGGUACUACUUGGCCAGAGAAGAAAAAUUCCCAUCUUAUUGAAUGACUCCCCAGCUAUAUGAAUCAUUUUUGCCAGUACGUAGACUAUUUUGUAAAAUUCAAGUAGUCAGUUAUCUCAAGAUUAAUAUUCUAUUGCUUCCUGCAUUUUUUUUCUUAGGGUAGAUAGAUAUAUUCUUUGCAUAGAAUCUCCAAUUUACGUUCAUAUGGAUCAAAGCAAUAAUACUUUUGCCAAAAAAAUAUAAUACUUACAUUUUGGAAAAAGUUGUUUGUUACUUCGAUUUCUCACAGGAUUCCUUCACAAAACAUAUCUAGCAAUUCUGGUCACCCAAGGAUGUCAGCUCCAUGUCUGGAAAAAAGAGAAGGCAAAAACACCUACUACUACACCAACCAAGAAGCAUAUCAGCAGGAGCCAAGAUCCGCCCACAGAGAUGGAGAAACUUAGCUUAAGAAUCUAAGACAAAAUGGGAGUGGAGCUGCUGAAACAAAGAUUGAGCACACUGUUGCAAAUCAGAUACCUGCACACUGGUGCCAACCAGUUAUGUAUAUAUCACGGACCUGCUUAUCGUUCUAGCCAGCAAGUACUUUUGACGUAUUGUAAUACUAGAUAGGAGCUGCUGAAACAAAGAUUGAGCACACUGUUGCCAAUCAGAUAUCUGCACACUGGUGCCAACCAGUUAUGUAUAUAUCACGGACCUGCUUAUCGUUCUAGCCAGCAAGUAUUUCUGACGUAUUGUAAUACUAGAUACGACUUAAACAUCUAUGCCUAAUUA